CUUAGCUGUCGAGUCUCUCUUAGUCGAGCUUUAUUGAUUUUUUUUCAAUAAAAUAAUUGGGGUACCCGGCUACGUAGCCAUUUGAACUUAUUACUAUGAUUUCUUUAUGUUAGAGUCUUAUAUUAGUGAGAUCCGUGAUGCUCUUCAUAGGCAUUCCUUGGUAGCACCAUGUGUUUGAUUUCUUUAUGUUAGAGCUAGGGUUUUUUUUUGGUUUGGCUGGUAGCUGCGUGUGAGGUUUGAAUUGUAGUGUAUUGUUGGGCUGAAUAUGAUUGCAGAUUUUUAUCGGAACGAGGGGAAUAAAGCGCUGAAUUCUAUGCUUGUUUGGUCCUAGAUUCGUUUGCUGUCGUUAAGAUUUUGACAAGUCUAUUGAGGGCUGAGGCUAUCUCACUGCCGCCAUGAGUCUAGCAUGCUUGACCUGCCAAGUAGUACAACGAACUCAGUCUGACUUGAGGUCAUACUCCUUUAGCUCCCAAGAAGAGCAGCAGAGAUGUGGAACUGUGGCGGGAUGUUGGUCCAAAAAGAAUUCCCAGCAGCCUUCUGUAGAAGUCAAUACAGUCAGGGCAAGGGUUGUUCCUGUUCCAUCACACUCCACUGUUAACGAGGGUCCUGUUAGCCCACGAUUGACAAGAUGCCAUGCUGUUCGCAGAGACAUUCUCAGGGAUUGGAAUUUUGAGGAAUUUGUAGAGGGAAGCAGGGUGUCUAUUGUAUAAAACAUCUUUCUAGUUUUGGAUUCCAUUGUGUAUAGCUUAAAAUUAGUCUAGGAUCUGUCUGAUGUUGGAAUGGGUCUUAUGACCAGCCUAACAACUAGAUACAGCUUUAGAGAUUCCUGAGCUGCAGGCAUUUUGCCAUGUAAUUAAGAAGAAUGUGCUCUUAUAUUUCUUAUCCAAGUAAUAAGUUUAUGUGGUGUAUAGUA